rnacentral:lncRNA from 1 species
AAUAGAUCAGAUCUAUUACCUUGCAAGUUAGACAUUCUAACCUUGUUGAUCUGGGCUUGAGGAUGAUGUUGCAAGCCGCACAUGCAUCCGACCUCUAGGAGUCAUCCACACAAGCCCAUGAAUCUCGAUCAGAAGUCCUGCUUCAGGAAAUCAGCACAGUAUGCUAGUACUGCGCUGAUCCUUCUUUGAUGGUUGAUCAGGUGCCUCCUUCUUCUUGAUUUGGACUCUUCCAAAGAUGAAAAGUAGAAGGAGGAGUUUCAGAUCUGAGACGCUCUUAGGAAACUCAAGAUGGAGGGAGGAAAGAUAUGAAAACAAAAACCCUAGAAGAAGACCCUCUUCUUCUUCACAUUUUUCUCUCUAGACAUCCAAACUUGCAUCUUUU